AGAGUUUGAUCCUGGCUCAGGAUGAACGCUAGCGGGAGGCCUAACACAUGCAAGCCGAGCGGUAUUGUUUCUUCGGAAAUGAGAGAGCGGCGUACGGGUGCGGAACACGUGUGUAACCUGCCUUUAUCUGGGGGAUAGCCUUUCGAAAGGAAGAUUAAUACUCCAUAAUAUAUUGAACGGCAUCGUUUAAUAUUGAAAGCUCCGGCGGAUAGAGAUGGGCACGCGCAAGAUUAGCUAGUUGGUGAGGUAACGGCUCACCAAGGCGAUGAUCUUUAGGGGCCUGAGAGGGUGAUCCCCCACACUGGUACUGAGACACGGACCAGACUCCUACGGGAGGCAGCAGUGAGGAAUAUUGGUCAAUGGGUGCAAGCCUGAACCAGCCAUCCCGCGUGAAGGACGACUGCCCUAUGGGUUGUAAACUUCUUUUGUAUAGGGAUAAACCUACCCUCGUGAGGGUAGCUGAAGGUACUAUACGAAUAAGCACCGGCUAACUCCGUG
rnacentral:rRNA from 1 species